rnacentral:rRNA from 1 species
GAUGAACGCUGGCGGCGUGCCUAAUACAUGCAAGUCGAGCGAACGGACGAGAAGCUUUCUUCUCUUAUGUUAGCGGCGGACGGGUGAGUAACACGUGGAUAACCGACCUAUAAGACUGGGAUAACUUCGGGAAACCGGAGCUAAUACCGGAUAAUAUUUUGAACCGCAUGGUUCAAAAGUGAAAAACGGUCUUGAUGUCACUUAUAGAUGGAUCCGCGCUGCAUUAGCUAGUUGGUAAGGUAACGGCUUACCAAGGCAACGAUGCAUAGCCGAUCUGAGAGGGUGAUCGGCCACACUGGAACUGAGACACGGUCCAGACUCCUACGGGAGGCAGCAGUAGGGAAUCUUGCGCAAUGGGCGAAAGCCUGACGGAGCAACGCCGCGUGAGUGAUGAAGGUCUUCGGAUCGUAAAACUCUGUUAUUAGGGAAGAACAUAUGUGUAAGUAACUGUGCACAUCUUGACGGUACCUACACAGAAAGCCACGGCUAACUACGUG